UCUAUGGCCAUACCACUCUGAAUGCACUCAAUCUUAUCUGAUCUCGGAAGCUAAGCAGGGUCAGGCCUGGUAACUACUUGGUACGGGAGACCACCUGGUGGUAGUGGGUGCUGUAGGUCUU
rnacentral:rRNA from 1 species